rnacentral:rRNA from 1 species
CUACGGGAUGCUGCAGGCGAGAAAACUUUGCAAUGUGCGAAAGCACGACAAGGUUAAUCCGAGUGGUUUGUGCUAAACGAACCUUUUGACAGUCCUAGAAACACUGUUGAAUAAGGGGUGGGCAAGUUCUGGUGUCAGCCGCCGCGGUAAAACCAGCACCUCAAGUGGUCAGGAUGAUUAUUGGGCCUAAAGCAUCCGUAGCCGGCUCUGUAAGUUUUCGGUUAAAUCUGUACGCUCAACGUACAGGCUGCCGGGAAUACUGCAGAGCUAGGGAGUGGGAGAGGUAGACGGUACUCGGUAGGAAGGGGUAAAAUCCUUUGAUCUAUUGAUGACCACCUGUGGCGAAGGCGGUCUACCAGAACACGUCCGACGGUGAGGGAUGAAAGCUGGGGGAGCAAACCGGAUUAGAUACCCGGGUAGUC